CCCUAGCCCUGAUGGAAGCGGUAUCCUUUUUCUUUUUUUCUUUAAAAAAAGAAAAAGAUACAAGUGUACAGCAGGAAAUAGC
rnacentral:sRNA from 1 species